rnacentral:rRNA from 1 species
AGCAGUCGCCGCGGUAAUACGUAGGGUGCAAGCGUUAAUCGGAAUUACUGGGCGUAAAGCGUGCGCAGGCGGUUAUAUAAGACAGAUGUGAAAUCCCCGGGCUCAACCUGGGAACUGCAUUUGUGACUGUAUAGCUAGAGUACGGCAGAGGGGGAUGGAAUUCCGCGUGUAGCAGUGAAAUGCGUAGAUAUGCGGAGGAACACCGAUGGCGAAGGCAAUCCCCUGGGCCUGUACUGACGCUCAUGCACGAAAGCGUGGGGAGCAAACAGGAUUAGAUACCCCGGUAGUCCCUGUCUCUUAUAC